rnacentral:rRNA from 1 species
AGGAGUUUGGAUCCUUGGCUCAGGAUGAACGCUAGCGGCAGGCUUAAUACAUGCAAGUCGAGGGGCAUCACAGGUAGCAAUACUGGGUGGCGACCGGCAAACGGGUGCGGAACACGUACACAACCUUCCUUUAAGAGGGGGAUAGCCCAGAGAAAUUUGGAUUAAUACCCCGUAAGAUUAUGAGAUGGCAUCAUUUUGUAAUUAAAGUUAAGGCGCUUGAAGAUGGGUGUGCGUCUGAUUAGGUAGUUGGUGAGGGUAACGGCCCACCAAGCCAACGAUCAGUAACUGGUGUGAGAGCACGACCAGUCACACGGGCACUGAGACACGGGCCCGACUCCUACGGGAGGCAGCAGUAAGGAAUAUUGGUCAAUGGACGCAAGUCUGAACCAGCCAUGCCGCGUGGAGGAUGAAGGUCCUCUGGAUUGUAAACUUCUUUUAUUUGGGAAGAAAGGCAUUUUUUUAGAGUGUUUGACGGUACCAGAUGAAUAAGCACCGGCUAACUCCGUGCCAGCAGCCGCGGUAAUACGGAGGGUGCAAGCGUUAUCCGGAUUCACUGGGUUUAAAGGGUGCGUAGGUGGGCAUGAAAGUCAGUGGUGAAAUCUCCGGGCUUAACCCGGAAACUGCCAUUGAUACUAUUUGUCUUGAAUACCGUGGAGGUGAGCGGAAUAUGUCAUGUACGGGAAAAUGCUUAGAUAUGACAUAGAACACCAAAUUAGCG